rnacentral:rRNA from 1 species
GAUGAACGCUGGCGGCGUGCCUAAUACAUGCAAGUCGAGCGAACAGACGAGGAGCUUGCUCCUCUGACGUUAGCGGCGGACGGGUGAGUAACACGUGGAUAACCUACCUAUAAGACUGGGAUAACUUCGGGAAACCGGAGCUAAUACCGGAUAAUAUAUUGAACCGCAUGGUUCAAUAGUGAAAGACGGUUUUGCUGUCACUUAUAGAUGGAUCCGCGCCGCAUUAGCUAGUUGGUAAGGUAACGGCUUACCAAGGCAACGAUGCGUAGCCGACCUGAGAGGGUGAUCGGCCACACUGGAACUGAGACACGGUCCAGACUCCUACGGGAGGCAGCAGUAGGGAAUCUUCCGCAAUGGGCGAAAGCUUGACGGAGCAACGCCGCGUGAGUGAUGAAGGUCUUCGGAUCGUAAAACUCUGUUAUUAGGGAAGAACAAAUGUGCAAGUAACUAUGCACGUCUUGACGGUACCUAAUCAGAAAGCCACGGCUAACUACGUG